GGUGCUAUAGUGUAGUGGUUAUCACUCGGGAUUUUGACUUCGGAUUACCGGCCCGGAAUUCCCGAAACCCAGGUUCGAACCCUGGUAGCACCU
rnacentral:tRNA from 1 species